rnacentral:miRNA from 1 species
UCUCCUCUCACCACAAGUUGAGAAUACACAGAUCAAUUUGUGAUGAGGUGAGACAG